UGGUUAGAGUAAGUGUGAAUGCUAGAAAGAGUUUUCACAAGAUUCACAGAUGAACUCAAGUCGAGUCAAUCUAGCAUAUGACUGAUGAUGGGAUUUGAUGAAUUCUCCAUGAUCUCCAUCUAGUCGAAACUGUAUCACACGAUAACUGUACCUAAGGAUUCAUUCUUCUAUUCUACUAAGUUGUCACUACAUACUGCUAGACGUCACUGAUAGAUCAUGAGAAUUUUCUAGGAUUAUUUUCAGAUCAAUGAUCCUUGUUGGGAUGA
rnacentral:lncRNA from 1 species